rnacentral:rRNA from 1 species
CAGCAGCCGCGGGAAUACGUAGGUGGCAAGCGUUGUCCGGAAUUAUUGGGCGUAAAGGGCUCGCAGGCGGUUUCUUAAGUCUGAUGUGAAAGCCCCCGGCUCAACCGGGGAGGGUCAUUGGAAACUGGGAAACUUGAGUGCAGAAGAGGAGAGUGGAAUUCCACGUGUAGCGGUGAGAUGCGUAGAGAUGUGGAGGAACACCAGUGGCGAAGGCGACUCUCUGGUCUGUAACUGACGCUGAGGAGCGAAAGCGUGGGGAGCGAACAGGAUUAGAUACCCGGGUAGUCCCUGUCUCUUAUAC